rnacentral:rRNA from 1 species
GACGAACGCUGGCGGCGUGCUUAACACAUGCAAGUCGAACGGAAAGGCCCUGCUUUUGUGGGGUGCUCGAGUGGCGAACGGGUGAGUAACACGUGAGUAACCUGCCCUUGACUUUGGGAUAACUUCAGGAAACUGGGGCUAAUACCGGAUAGGAGCUCCUGCUGCAUGGUGGGGGUUGGAAAGUUUCGGCGGUUGGGGAUGGACUCGCGGCUUAUCAGCUUGUUGGUGGGGUAGUGGCUUACCAAGGCUUUGACGGGUAGCCGGCCUGAGAGGGUGACCGGCCACAUUGGGACUGAGAUACGGCCCAGACUCCUACGGGAGGCAGCAGUGGGGAAUAUUGCACAAUGGGCGGAAGCCUGAUGCAGCAACGCCGCGUGCGGGAUGACGGCCUUCGGGUUGUAAACCGCUUUCGCCUGUGACGAAGCGUGAGUGACGGUAAUGGGUAAAGAAGCACCGGCUAACUACGUGCCAGCAGCCGCGGUGAUACGUAGGGGGCGAGCGUUGUCCGGAUUUAUUGGGCGUAAAGGGCUCGUAGGUGGUUGAUCGCGUCGGAAGUGUAAUCUUGGGGCUUAACCCUGAGCGUGCUUUCGAUACGGGUUGACUUGAGGAAGGUAGGGGAGAAUGGAAUUCCUGGUGGAGCGGUGGAAUGCGCAGAUAUCAGGAGGAACACCAGUGGCGAAGGCGGUUCUCUGGGCCUUUCCUGACGCUGAGGAGCGAAAGCGUGGGGAGCGAACAGGCUUAGAUACCCUGGUAGUCCACGCUGUAAACGGUGGGUACUAGGUGUGGGGUCCAUUCCACGGGUUCCGUGCCGUAGCUAACGCUUUAAGUACCCCGCCUGGGGAGUACGGCCGCAAGGCUAAAACUCAAAGGAAUUGACGGGGCCCCGCACAAGCGGCGGAGCAUGCGGAUUAAUUCGAUGCAACGCGUAGAACCUUACCUGGGUUUGACAUGGAUCGGGAGCGCUCAGAGAUGGGUGUGCCUCUUUUGGGGUCGGUUCACAGGUGGUGCAUGGCUGUCGUCAGCUCGUGUCGUGAGAUGUUGGGUUAAGUCCCGCAACGAGCGCAACCCUUGUUCACUGUUGCCAGCACGUUAUGGUGGGGACUCAGUGGAGACCGCCGGGGUCAACUCGGAGGAAGGUGGGGAUGACGUCAAGUCAUCAUGCCCCUUAUGUCCAGGGCUUCACGCAUGCUGCAAUGGCUGGUACAGAGAGUGGCGAGCCUGUGAGGGUGAGCGAAUCUCGGAAAGCCGGUCUCAGUUCGGAUUGGGGUCUGCAACUCGACCUCAUGAAGUCGGAGUCGCUAGUAAUCGCAGAUCAGCAACGCUGCGGUGAAUACGUUCCCGGG